ensembl:lncRNA
UUCAGGGGGGAAGUCUUUACUAGAGCUUGGUGCUUUCCGAAUCCCCUUCUCGGCUGAAACGAAUGGCCAAAAGACCGAAGACGUGACGAGCACCGUCCUCAACUAAUGGAGAGACUUCUAGUCGGGUCACUAUAUCAAGAGGAGGUGGAUGAGCAGGACGUUUCCUGUAAACUGGCAUGACUUACCUCCUUGAUGAUCCGAGCCUGACUCAUGGAAAAAGGCAACCGCGUGACUGGGAGCGGGGCUUUGCACGGCGGGGCUGGUGAGUGACGAAACCAGAGCCCUGCCACUGGGAUGGCGUGUACAAUGCCGUGACAUGCGCACACUGAGAAUGUCCGAUCGCAGCGAGAGAUAUGUAGUCCAUGUCAAACGCCAGGAGCGAUGGCGUGGACAAACAGCUCUUUCAAGAUGAAAAGCGGGGAGAUGAUGCAGGAUGCGACAAACUGACACAG